GAAUUCGCCCUUGGGGAAUUUUCCGCAAUGGGCGAAAGCCUGACGGAGCAAUACCGCGUGAGGGAGGAAGGCUCUUGGGUUGUAAACCUCUUUUCUCAGGGAAGAACAGAAUGACGGUACCUGAGGAAUAAGCAUCGGCUAACUCCGCGCCAGCAGCCGCGGUAAUACGGAGGAUGCAAGCGUUAUCCGGAAUGAUUGGGCGUAAAGGGUCCGCAGGUGGCAUUGUAAGUCUGCUGUUAAAGAGUUUGGCUCAACCAAAUAAGAGCAGUGGAAACUACAAAGCUAGAGUGUGGUCGGGGCAGAGGGAAUUCCUGGUGUAGCGGUGAAAUGCGUAGAUAUCAGGGAGAACACCAGUGGCGAAGGCGCUCUGCUAGGCCGAGACUGACACUGAGGGACGAAAGCUAGGGGAGCGAAUGGGAUUAGAUACCCCAGUAGUCCUAGCCGUAAACGAUGGAUACUAGGCGUAGCUCGUAUCGACCCGAGCUGUGCCGGAGCUAACGCGUUAAGUAUCCCGCCUGGGGAGUACGCAGGCAACUGUGAAACUCAAAGGAAUUGACGGGGGCCCGCACAAGCGGUGGAGUAUGUGGUUUAAUUCGAUGCAACGCGAAGAACCUUACCAAGGCUUGACAUGUCACGAAUCCUAUUGAAAGAUGGGAGUGCCUUCGGGAGCGUGAA
rnacentral:rRNA from 1 species